UGUUUGACUGCGAAACUGUUGAGGACACUGCGGCUAGUAGCCUUGGCAAUAAGGAAACAAUAAACGCUCCAAUUGGUCAACUCUCUGGCGCACUUUCUGAUCACACUUAUAGCAAAAGCAAUGCCUCCAACUUAGAGGAUAUGGACAGUGACUGUCCUACAACACAGCUCCAAAAGAGUAUCGAUUCGGAAAGUGAAAACAUGUCAAUUUUGAGCAAUUGUAGUUCCACAACGACGGUAGUUG